rnacentral:misc_RNA from 1 species
GAUGAAGAACGUAGCAAAAUGCGAUAAGUAAUGUGAAUUGCAGAAUUCAGUGAAUCAUCGAAUCUUUGAACGCACAUUGCGCCCGCUGGUAUUCCGGCGGGCAUGCCUGUUCGAGCGUCAUUUCAACCCUCAAGCCCCCGGGUUUGGUGUUGGGGAUCGGCUCUGCCCUUCUGGGCGGUGCCGCCCCCGAAAUACAUUGGCGGUCUCGCUGCAGCCUCCAUUGCGUAGUAGCUAACACCUCGCGACUGGAGAGCGGCGCGGCCACGCCGUAAAACACCCAACUCUUCUGAAGUUGACCUCGAAUCAGGUAGGAAUACCCGCUGAACUUAAGCAUAUCAAUAAGCGGAGGA